GUGCUUGGUUUGGAAAUACAUAUACUAAAAUUGGAAUGAUACAGAGGAGACUAGCCUUGGCCUUGUGCAAAAAUGACAAGCAAAUUUGUGAAGAGUUUCAUAUUAAG
rfam:Erinaceus europaeus unplaced genomic scaffold scaffold00836, whole genome shotgun sequence